ACGGGAGGCAGCAGUGGGGAAUAUUGCACAAUGGGGGAAACCCUGAUGCAGCGACGCCGCGUGAGUGAAGAAGUAUUUCGGUAUGUAAAGCUCUAUCAGCAGGAAAGAAAAUGACGGUACCUGACUAAGAAGCCCCGGCUAACUACGUGCCAGCAGCCGCGGUAAUACGUAGGGGGCAAGCGUUAUCCGGAUUUACUGGGUGUAAAGGGAGCGUAGACGGCUUUGCAAGUCUGAAGUGAAAGCCCGGGGCUCAACCCCGGUACUGCAUUGGAAACUGUCGAACUAGAGUGUCGGAGGGGUAAGUGGAAUUCCUAGUGUAGCGGUGAAAUGCGUAGAUAUUAGGAGGAACACCAGUGGCGAAGGCGGAUUGCUGGACGACAACUGACGGUGAGGCGCGAAAGCGUGGGGAGCAAACAGGAUUAGAUACCCUGGUA
rnacentral:rRNA from 1 species